ACCUGGGUGGCUUAGUCAGUUAAGCGUCUGACUUCGACUCAGGUCACGAUCUCACGAUUCGUGGGUUUGAGCCCCGCGUCGGGCU
rnacentral:tRNA from 1 species